GGCGUGUGUGUUUGUUUCUCAGGUAAAACAUGGCUAAAAGCUUACGGAGCAAGUGGAAAAGAAAAAUGCGCGCUGAAAAGAGAAAAAAGAAUGCCCCAAAGGAGCUCAGCAGGCUUAAAAGUAUUCUCAAACUAGACGGUGAUGUUUUAAUGAAAGAUGUUCAAGAGACAGUAACUGUGGUGGUACCCAAACCCAAACAUUGCCAAGAGAAAAUGCAAUGUGAGGUAAAAGAUGAAAAAGAUGACAUGAAAAUGGAGACUGAUAUUAAGAGAAACAAAAAACUCUUCUAGACCAGAAUGGUCAGUACCCCAUAUGGAUGAACCAAAGGCAAAGAAAAAAGCUGAAGGCAAAGCGAGAGAGAAGAAAGGGAAAAAGUAAAGCAAAAGCAGUGAAAGUGGCAAAGGGUUUGGCCUGGUAGACUCUUAAAACCUUGGAAAAUGCCACAUGGGACAGGUGAUGGAUUAGAAUGUAUACACAUGUAUAAUUUGAUUUCAACUCCCACCAAAUGAAAACUAUUUGUUUUCCUAUUUUAACUUGGCCUUUUUUCUUCAAUUCAAACCCAGCAUAACUCCUCAAGUUUGUUUUGGGAACUUGAAUAAAAUACUUUGUUUCAUACAU